AUCUACAUAACGUGUGUUCUGAAGGCCACUCUUGCUUCUGCACCUAGUGACGCGCUCCACAAAUCCUGUUCCUUUGCCAAUGGGUGGCUUGCUGCUGAUGGGAACCACCAGGUUUGUGGUUGCUGUGACUCCACAUGUGGUCCUGAUGGUGGAACUGCUGCUUCUCCUUUUGGAGGUAGGAAGGUGCUUUUAAGCUUGGUUUUUGGCCCUUCAAGCACUUAACUCUGGUGUCUGCUUUUUCUAGGCCUUCAGUGUGAAGGGAAGGCCUCGCUCGGUCCUGUAGUGGUUCAAGAGCACAAGAAGACUUUGGCUGGUCUUCAAUAAAUGUGGGGGAGCAAACUUA